UGGGGAAUCUUGCGCAAUGGGCGCAAGCCUGAUCCAGCAAUGCCGCGUGCAGGAUGAAGGCCUUCGGGUUGUAAACUGCUUUUGUACGGAACGAAAAGCUUCUGGUUAAUACCUGGGAGUCAUGACGGUACCGUAAGAAUAAGCACCGGCUAACUACGUGCCAGCAGCCGCGGUAAUACGUAGGGUGCGAGCGUUAAUCGGAAUUACUGGGCGUAAAGCGUGCGCAGGCGGUUAUGUAAGACAGAGGUGAAAUCCCCGGGCUCAACCUGGGAACUGCCUUUGUGACUGCAUGGCUAGAGUGCGGCAGAGGGGGAUGGAAUUCCGCGUGUAGCAGUGAAAUGCGUAGAUAUGCGGAGGAACACCGAUGGCGAAGGCAAUCCCCUGGGCCUGCACUGACGCUCAUGCACGAAAGCGUGGGGAGCAAACA
rnacentral:rRNA from 1 species